rnacentral:lncRNA from 1 species
UUUAAGUUUUAUUGAAGUGUAGUUGAUUUACAAUGUUGUGAUCAUUUCUGCUGUACAACAGUGAUUCCAUUCUACAUGCAGAUUUUUGUGUUCUCUUGCUUCCAUGAGCCUGCUGUGUGUUCACUGUUUUACCACUACUCACAUCAUUGAUGCUGUUUGAUCAUGAAAAGACAUGUAUGUGUCAAGUUGCACCUUAUUCUUAAAUCUCAAUAUAUCAAUAAAAAUGACAAAAACAAUCAUGUAUCAACAAUGCAGCUAAUAAGUUUCAAGGACUAUACCAUGAGCUUUAUAUACAUUGUGUCAUUUGCUUUGCAUAUCUACCCACUGAGGCAGGCAUUAUUAGAUCCAUUUUACAGGCAAGUCAACAUUCACUUUCAGGACUGAUUCCAAAACUCAUGUGCCCUUCACAAUUGUAAUUGAAGAACAUCUGAGGAAUGUAUUACAAAGUUCCAUAACACUGGCAUUUGGCAACACACCAUGGACUCCUACCAUGGAUGUUCUCAGAACAUAAAAUCUAAGAGAAAGAUGUAAGGCUUAUGGAACAGUUUUGAGCUGUCUUACAUCUCCUUCAUAUGUUCACAAUACUUUAUUUAUGUAUGAUAAAAGGUGAAUAUUCCACACUGAGAAAGUAGACCUCUACAGAAUACUCCCAAAAUGUAUAUCAGUCUUCUAGACCUACAAGAAAGAAGGCUGAAUAUUAUUUAUUUAUUAUUACUAUUACUACUCUAAACAAUGUCUUAUUUAUAUGCUAACUGCUUAUUUCCUUGCUACUUUUGGUUGCUUGGUAAAGACAAAUGAAGGAAAGAGAUAUUAAAGCUUUAAAACACUAAAUAGUUUAUAAACUUAUUUUUGGAUAAGUAUAUUUUUGGUUUAUAUUCCCUAAGUAAUGAUUACAGUGACAGUUUCUAACAAACAAACAGAAAAAUAAAAACCCAAACAUACUAGCUGCAAAAACCACUGCUACAAAAUCUCUCCCCUACCAUUAACUACUGCAGAAAUGAAAUGAAAGUAGUUCAUUUAUUGUCUAUUCUUGUUAAACCAAACUCCAAUUUGCUGUGCCCAAAUCCAUAUUAAUGGAUUUACAGCAUGCUUUGGUGUAAUAUAACAUGCCUUAGUGUAUCUCAACCAAAAUUGUGUUGAAGAUAAUUUAAUUGAAAAUUAAGCCUUAAUUGACUUAAAGCAUGAAAAUGAAAUAAAUACAUUUUGAAAACUUAUGAAAGUUUGCUCACCAGGUUUUCCUGUGUAUUCUUCUAAAGAUUUAGAGCUCUAAUUAUAAAACUUCAUAGCCAAGAGUAAUAAAACAAGUAUAAUGAUGCUGUCAAUAUAAUGAGUACUUAUUUUUAUUAAAUAAUUAUAUUUUAAUUUUAUUUAGCUAUAAUAUUUCUAGAUAAAUAAACACUGAACCCCCAUUUUAACAAGGAGUGCCCACAGAAAUUAGAAUCAUGUUCUGGCAGGAUUUCUUAAGCAACUGUUUUCCAUGCAUAUUCCACAAGUAAUUAUUCAUCUCCUACUAGUCAUCAAGCACUGAACUAACUACCAAAGGAUAAGUAGAAAAAAAAAAAAAAAAGAAAAGAAAAGGGAGUGUUUGGGGCUAUAUUGCAUUUAUUAACACAUGUGAUGGAAUUUUUACAUUCUUAAAGAGAUGGUUUUGAUAUUUAAAGUAGAGCUUGAUGGAGUUCCCAUUGUGGCUCAGUGGUUAACGAAUCUGACUAGGAACCAUGAGGUUGCGGUUGGAUUCGUUAACUGCUGAGCCACGACAGGAACUCCUAAUUCAGUUCUUAAGCAAUAUGCAACUUCCCAAAUUACUGGCUUGAUUCUAUAUUGUAAGUUGGUGAUUUUCAGGCAGAAAAGGAUAUGGGCCGACUGAGAAUUUGUUCUCUCUCCACUUGAAGAUAAUGUGAUUAAGGUGGCUGAGUGUUGAAUUACUAGACAUAUCACACAUGAUAAACAAUAAUAUCUUGAUGAUAACGCCUCCUACCUAUCCCAAAAAUAAAUAUAUUUAAGUUCUGUGUGUUUACAAAUGCUUCAAUUACCUUUAACUACAUUUUCCCGCUUCCCUUCUCUUAAAUUUGAUGAAAUUCUGCUAAAUCCUAAAUGUUUUCCUUUUUAUCUUGAAGCUAACUCAAUGACAGUUUCAUCUAUGGAAGAAAAAAAAGUCCCCUUUAAAGCACCAUUAUCUAAAGGUCAGAUACCUUCAGUGAAAAGUGUCCUAUAUACAAACAAAUUUUCUAAAUGCAUUACUUCUAUCACACAAAACAUCAACAAAACAUUUUCUUCACAAGGAUGGAGACUUAGAGCUAAAUGUAUUGAACAAAGUAUGGGGAAAAGCCACCGCUUUCAGUUAGUUUUUGAAGGAGAGUGUAAGGAAUCUUGUACUUUUCCUUUUAUUUCCAAAAUAUAUUAUAUAAUGGAGGCAAAAUUGGCUUUUUUAAUGUCUUUAUCUUAAAAAAAAAAAGAAAGAAUGUCUCCUAUAGGUAAAUCUGCAUUUUGUAAAGUCAGUAGAAAACUAAGUACAAUGGAAUUCACUUUACCUUUUAAUUCUAAGCAUUAAUUAUUUAGAGAAGAAAUUUCAAAGUUUUGAGAAUACAAAGAUGUAUUAUCUUAAUAGUCAACACUAUAAAACAUAUGUUGUUGUGCAUUACAGAUGGAUCCAGAAUUAUAAAUCUGACUUUUUUAUGUAUUAUAUAUAGUGCAGCCUCUGACUAAUGACAAUGGACCACGUAUGACAAAAUACAAUGAUGAUACGUUGUACUUUCAGACUAUUUCUAACAAAUAUUUCAACCAGUCUUCCACAACAGAAAUAAUACAAUUUUGUUCCUCUGUGACUUUUAGAUAUACUUCUAACACACUGAUGAAUAUAGACCUAAGAUUGAUGGCAGUAGAGGUUGUAAAUUACUUUUAAAGGGGAAGUGUUGAAAGUUCGACCACAGAGCCAAGAUAUCUACAGCCACAGAGACCAAACUCUUUGAAGUUAAACUGUUCUAUCAGCAAGUUACCUCUUCCUGGAACAUAAUUAGUGCAAAAACAUGGAAAUUAUUAUCAUAAAAGAAAUGAACACUCUAAAGUAAAAUGGAUAAA